GAUGAAGAACGUAGCGAAAUGCGAUAAGUAAUGCGAAUUGCAGAAUCCGUGAAUCAUCGAAUCUUUGAACGCACAUUGCGCCCGCCAGUAUUCUGGCGGGCAUGCCUGUCUGAGCGUCAGUUCAACCCUCACAACCGGCUUUCUUGCUGGAUGUGGUGUUGGGGAUCGGCUGCCUUUCUUCUAGGUGGCCGGCCCCGAAAUAGAGUGGCGGUCUCGUCGUGGCCUCCUCUGCGUAGUAGCAAUAUCUCGCAGGCGGAGAGCGGCGUGGCUAUGCCGUAAAACACCCAACUCUUCUAAGGUUGACCUCAGAUCAGGUAGGAAUACCCGCUGAACUUAAGCAUAUCAAUAAGCGGAGGA
rnacentral:misc_RNA from 1 species